GGUCGUCCUAUGGCAACGCAGCGGCCUGGGAUGAGGAGCACCCGUAGUGGCGGGCGCGCUCCACCUCUGAUUCGCUUGUCGCUGGGCUCUGCGGACAGCAAACUCUCUACUCCUAAACCUGAUGUGAUUUCCCUAUUGGAUCAAGGCAAAGAACCAUGGAUGGUUUCGAGGGACAUUAUGGAAGGAUGGUGCCCAGAAGAAUAAUUGGAAAUAUACUGCCAGCUCAAGACCCUUUUGGUGUCUGGAACUUUGUGAUGAAGUGGAAGCAGAGCAAGAGAGUAUGUAACAGCUCUGAGAAGAAGAUCACAGACUUACUCUCUGGAAAAUUCAAUAGUCCAUUAUGAGGGCAGCAACUGAAAGUAGAGGAAUUUUGUAUCUUUUUAUAGGCAGGUGAGUACAGGGUAAAUGCCACCAUGUAAAAGUAUCUUAGCAGACUGGGCUCCAUAAACUCUUUUUUUGGCCGGGGGAAGGGCAGUGCUAGGGAUUGAACCCCGGGUGCUGUACUAGUGCACUACAUUCCCAGGCCACCAAAGCCUUUUUCAAAAUUUAAGCUAAGUUCUCACAGGGCACAGUGGUACAUGCCUGAAAUCCCAGAGGCAUGGGAGGCUGAGACAGCAGGACCUCAAG